AUAAGAUAACCUGAAGAUACUCUGACUACGAACAGAGAUGCUGUCUAAAGUAUACCAUUCUUUUAAAUGCAAAGCUAAAUUUGUAAAAGAAAGGGAACUGCCAGGACCUGGAGAACUGAAAACCAGAGUGGUCAGUGUCAACCAGCUGUGUCUGGGAGGUGUGUGAGUGGAUGGUUGCUCUUGAGUGUUCAUGUCCACGUAAGUGUGAGAAAUAAGACUUGGCCCCUGGAAACCCACUCCAGUACUCUUGCCUGGAAACUCCCAUGGAUGGAGGAGCCUAGUAGGCUGCAGUCCACGGGGCCGCUAGGAGUUGGAUACGACUGAGUAACUUCACUUUCACUUUUCACUUUCAUGCAUUGGAGAAGGAAAUGGCAACUCACUCCAGUGUUCUUGCCUGGAGAAUCCCAGGGACUGGGGGAGCCUGGUGGGCUGCCGUCUCCGGGGUUGCAGAGUCAGACACGACUGAAGUGACUUAGCAGCAGCAGCAGCAGCAGCAGCAGGAGCAGCAGCAGCAGCAUGCCUCAUAUGAAGAUGGAAAUAGAACUCCUUGCAGAAAGGUGGCGUUAUCUGAUAAAGAGAUUCCAUUGACUUUGGACCUAGAACUGUUGCUGUGGAGCAAGGGGAUUUGAGUUUAAGAAAACAAAAUUGUCUAUGAAUAUCUACGUGGUACUCAGCUUCCAUUGCAUACACACCAACUGCAGCACUUUUCCUGGAGUGACAACAUAGGAGAAUCUUCAGAGCAGGGUUUCUGCCGCCAAUACAGGAGAUGCAAGAGAUGUGGGUUCGAUCCCCAGGUCAGGAAGAUCCUCUGAAGAAGUAAAUGACAACCCACUCCAGUAUUCUUGCCUGGAAAAUCCCAUGGACAGAGGAGUCUGGCAGACUACAGUCCAUGGGGUUCACAAAGAGGCAGACAUGACUGAGCGCACGUGCACACACAGGGAUCUUCCCGACCCAGAGAUUGAACCCGGGUCUCCCACAUUGGAGGCAGACGCUUUAACCUCUGAGCCACCAGGCAGUAAACCUCUCCAAAGGACCCCCUGAAAAUCUGUUCAAGUAAAGUUAAAUUUAAUAAACUUACAGCAUUAAAGAGACUGCCAAAGUGUCAUAACAAUUUCUCAGAAGGGAAAGUCAGAGAGGAUAUAUAUAGAGCUUUAGGGCCCAAACGUGGAGGAGGGCAUGGCAACGCAAUCCAAUAUUCUUGGCUGGAAGAUCCCAUGGACAGAGGAGCCUGGUGGGCUACAGCCCAUAGGAUCACAAAGAGCUGGACACGACUGAGUGAUG
ensembl:lncRNA